rnacentral:rRNA from 1 species
UCUUUAACAAUUUAUCAGACAAUCUGUGUGGGCACUCGAAGAUACGGAUUCUUAACGUCCUCGGACGAAAAAUGAAUACCAAGUCUCAAGAGUGAACACGUAAUUCAUUACGAAGUUUAAUUCUUUGAGCAUCAAACUUUNGGGAACCUGCGGUUGGAUCACCUCCUUACCUUAAAGAAGCGUACUUUGCAGUGCUCACACAGAUUGUCUGAUGAAAAGUGAAUAGCAAGGCGUUUACGCGUUGGGAGUGAGGCUGAAAAAAUAAGGCCGUUCGCUUUCUAUUAAUGAAAGCUCACCCUACACGAAAAUAUCACGCAGCGCGUGAUAAGCAAUUUUCGUGUCCCCUUCGUCUAGAGGCCCAGGACACCGCCCUUUCACGGCGGUAACAGGGGUUCGAAUCCCCUAGGGGACGCCGGGAACCUGCGGUUGGAUCACCUCCUUACCUGAAAGAAGCGUACUUUGCAGUGCUCACACAGAUUGUCUGAUGAAAAGUAAAUAGCAAGGCGUCUUGCGAUUGAGACUUCAGUGUCCCCUUCGUCUAGAGGCCCAGGACACCGCCCUUUCACGGCGGNAGGGGACGCCACUUGCUGGUUUGUGAGUGAAAGUCACCUGCCUUAAUAUCUCAAAACUGACUUACGAGUCACGUUUGAGAUAUUUGCUCUUUAAAAAUCUGGAUCAAGCUGAAAAUUGAAACACAGAACAACGAAAGUUGUUCGUGAGUCUCUCAAAUUUGUCCCCUUCGUCUAGAGGCCCAGGACACCGCCCUUUCACGGCGGUAACAGGGGUUCGAAUCCCCUAGGGGACGCCACUUGCUGGUUUGUGAGUGAAAGUCACCUGCCUUAAUAUCUCAAAACUGACUUACGAGUCACGUUUGNGUAAUAGCUCACUGGUCGAGUCGGCCUGCGCGGAAGAUGUAACGGGGCUAAACCAUGCACCGAAGCUGCGGCAGCGACACUCAGGUGUUGUUGGGUAGGGGAGCGUUCUGUAAGCCUGCGAAGGUGGCCUGUGAGGGUUGCUGGAGGUAUCAGAAGUGCGAAUGCUGUUGGGUAGGGGAGCGUUCUGUAAGCCUGUGAAGGUGGCCUGUGAGGGUUGCUGGAGGUAUCAGAAGUGCGAAUGCUGACAUAAGUAACGAUAAAGCGGGUGAAAAGCCCGCUCGCCGGAAGACCAAGGGUUCCUGUCCAACGUUAAUCGGGGCAGGGUGAGUCGACCCCUAAGGCGAGGCCGAAAGGCGUAGUCGAUGGGAAACGGGUUAAUAUUCCCGUACUUGGUGUUACUGCGAAGGGGGGACGGAGAAGGCUAUGUUGGCCGGGCGACGGUUGUCCCGGUUUAAGCGUGUAGGUGUGUGUUCCAGGUAAAUCCGGUUCACUUUAACACUGAGGCGUGACGACGAGGCACUACGGUGCUGAAGCAACAAAUGCCCUGCUUCCAGGAAAAGCCUCUAAGCAUCAGGUAACAUCAAAUCGUACCCCAAACCGACACAGGUGGUCAGGUAGAGAAUACCAAGGCGCUUGAGAGAACUCGGGUGAAGGAACUAGGCAAAAUGGUGCCGUAACUUCGGGAGAAGGCACGCUGACAUGUAGGUGAAGUGAUUUACUCAUGGAGCUGAAGUCAGUCGAAGAUACCAGCUGGCUGCAACUGUUUAUUAAAAACACAGCACUGUGCAAACACGAAAGUGGACGUAUACGGUGUGACGCCUGCCCGGUGCCGGAAGGUUAAUUGAUGGGGUCAGCGCAAGCGAAGCUCCUGAUCGAAGCCCCGGUAAACGGCGGCCGUAACUAUAACGGUCCUAAGGUAGCGAAAUUCCUUGUCGGGUAAGUUCCGACCUGCACGAAUGGCGUAAUGAUGGCCAGGCUGUCUCCACCCGAGACUCAGUGAAAUUGAACUCGCUGUGAAGAUGCAGUGUACCCGCGGCAAGACGGAAAGACCCCGUGAACCUUUACUAUAGCUUGACACUGAACAUUGAGCCUUGAUGUGUAGGAUAGGUGGGAGGCUUUGAAGUGUGGACGCCAGUCUGCAUGGAGCCGACCUUGAAAUACCACCCUUUAAUGUUUGAUGUUCUAACGUGGACCCGUAAUCCGGGUUGCGGACAGUGUCUGGUGGGUAGUUUGACUGGGGCGGUCUCCUCCUAAAGAGUAACGGAGGAGCACGAAGGUUGGCUAAUCCUGGUCGGACAUCAGGAGGUUAGUGCAAUGGCAUAAGCCAGCUUGACUGCGAGCGUGACGGCGCGAGCAGGUGCGAAAGCAGGUCAUAGUGAUCCGGUGGUUCUGAAUGGAAGGGCCAUCGCUCAACGGAUAAAAGGUACUCCGGGGAUAACAGGCUGAUACCGCCCAAGAGUUCAUAUCGACGGCGGUGUUUGGCACCUCGAUGUCGGCUCAUCACAUCCUGGGGCUGAAGUAGGUCCCAAGGGUAUGGCUGUUCGCCAUUUAAAGUGGUACGCGAGCUGGGUUUAGAACGUCGUGAGACAGUUCGGUCCCUAUCUGCCGUGGGCGCUGGAGAACUGAGGGGGGCUGCUCCUAGUACGAGAGGACCGGAGUGGACGCAUCACUGGUGUUCGGGUUGUCAUGCCAAUGGCACUGCCCGGUAGCUAAAUGCGGAAGAGAUAAGUGCUGAAAGCAUCUAAGCACGAAACUUGCCCCGAGAUGAGUUCUCCCUGAGACUUAGAGUCUCCUGAAGGAACGUUGAAGACGACGACGUUGAUAGGCCGGGUGUGUAAGCGCAGCGAUGCGUUGAGCUAACCGGUACUAAUGAACCGUGAGGCUUAACCUU